rnacentral:rRNA from 1 species
CAGCAGCCGCGGUAAAACGAAGGGUGCAAGCGUUAAUCGGAAUUACUGGGCGUAAAGCGUGCGUAGGCGGUUAGUUAAGUCUGUUGUGAAAUCCCCGGGCUCAACCUGGGAAUGGCAAUGGAUACUGGCAAGCUAGAGUGUGUCAGAGGAUGGUGGAAUUCCCGGUGUAGCGGUGAAAUGCGUAGAGAUCGGGAGGAACAUCAGUGGCGAAGGCGGCCAUCUGGGACAACACUGACGCUGAGGCACGAAAGCGUGGGGAGCAAACAGGAUUAGAUACCCGGGUAGUCCCUGUCUCUUAUAA